UACGUAGGGGGCAAGCGUUGUCCGGAUUUACUGGGCGUAAAGAGCGUGUAGGCGGCCACGCAGGUCCGUUGUGAAAACUGGAGGCUCAACCUUCAGACGUCGGACGGAAACCGUAUGGCUAGAGUCCGGAAAGAGGAGAGUCGGAAUUCCGUGUGUAGCGGUGAAAUGCGCAGAUAUCAGGAAGAACACCAAUGGCGAAAGCAGCUCUCUGGGACGGUACUGACGCUGAGACGCGAAAGCGUGGGAGCGAACAGG
rnacentral:rRNA from 1 species